rnacentral:rRNA from 1 species
UAAAAUCCGUUGAUAUCGGGAGGAACACCAGUGGCGAAGGCGGUCUGCUAGGUCGUUCGUGACGCUGAGGCGCGAAAGCCUGGGGAGCGAAAGGGAUUAGAUACCCCUGUAGUCCAGGCCGUAAACGAUGCCGACUAGACAUUGGCAGUAUCGACCCUGCCUGUGUCGAAGCUAACGCGUGAAGUCGGCCGCCUGGGAAGUACGGCCGCAAGGCUAAAACUCAAAGGAAUUGGCGGGGGCUCGCACAAGCGGUGGAGCAUGUGGUUUAAUUCGACGACAAGCGAAGAACCUUACCAGGGCUUGACAUCUGCCGAAUCUCCUGGAAACAGGGGAGUGCCCGCAAGGGAGCGGCAAGACAGGUGCUGCACGGUCGUCGUCAGCUCGUGCCGUGAGGUGUUCCCUUCAGUGGGGAAACGAGCGCAACCCUCAUCCUGUGUUAGAUUGUUCACAGGAGACUGCGGCGGUAACGCCGAGGAAGGUGGGGAUGACGUCAGAUCAGCGUGGCUCUUACGCCCUGGGCGACACACGUGCUACAAUGCGGCGGACAAAGGGUUUGCUAAGCCGCGAGGCGGAGCUAAUCCCAGAAAACGCCGCUCAGUUCGGAUUGCAGGCUGCAACCCGCCUGCAUGAAGCCGGAAUCGCUAGUAAUCGCGGGUCAGCAUACCGCGGUGAAUGUGUUCCUGAGCCUUGUACACACCGCCCGUCAAGCCACGAAAGUGGGGGGCAUCCGAAGUCGCCGAGCCAACCCCUUCGGGGGAGGUAAGCGCCGAAGAUGAACUCCGCGAUUGGGACUAAGUCGUAACAAGGUAGCCGUAGGGGAACCUGCGGCUG